rnacentral:rRNA from 1 species
AGAAUCAACGCUGGCGGCGUGCCUAACACAUGCAAGUCGAACGAGAAAGUGGAGCAAUCCAUGAGUAAAGUGGCGACCGGGUGAGUAACACGUGACUAACCUACCUUCGAGUGGGGGAUAACCUCGGGAAACCGGGGCUAAUACCGCAUAACAUCUUUGGAGUGGAAAUUUCGGAGAUCAAAGGGGCAAUUCGCUUGAAGAGGGGGUCGCGGCUGAUUAGCUAGUUGGCGGGUAACGGCCCACAAGGCUUAGAUCGGUA